GAUGAACGCUGGCGGCGUGCCUAAUACAUGCAAGUCGAGCGAACAGACGAGGAGCUUGCUCCUCUGACGUUAGCGGCGGACGGGUGAGUAACACGUGGAUAACCUACCUAUAAGACUGGGAUAACUUCGGGAAACCGGAGCUAAUACCGGAUAACAUGUUGAACCGCAUGGUUCAACAGUGAAAGACGGUUUUGCUGUCACUUAUAGAUGGAUCCGCGUCGCAUUAGCUAGUUGGUAAGGUAACGGCUUACCAAGGCAACGAUGCGUAGCCGACCUGAGAGGGUGAUCGGCCACACUGGAACUGAGACACGGUCCAGACUCCUACGGGAGGCAGCAGUAGGGAAUCUUCCGCAAUGGGCGAAAGCCUGACGGAGCAACGCCGCGUGAGUGAAGAAGGUCUUCGGAUCGUAAAACUCUGUUAUUUGGGAAGAACAAAUGUGUAAGUAACUAUGCACGUCUUGACGGUACCUAAUCAGAAAGCCACGGCUAACUACGUG
rnacentral:rRNA from 1 species